AUACUUACCUGGGCGGGGUCAAUGGGCAAUCAGUAAGAUCUAUGGCCUAGGUUGGUGGCUUUCAUUGCACUCAGAAGGUGCACCUGCCUAAGUCUCCCCAAGAGGGCGAGCCUACGUCAUUAUUUGUGGCAGUUGGGGCCUGCGUUUGCGCAAGCCCCUU